UCCUUCAGGCCUCUGCUAUCCAGUCU
rnacentral:piRNA from 1 species